GUUAUUUUAUUUCCAGAUUCUAAAAUGUUACAUGCAGAUGUGCAGUGUCGUUUCACCCAUUUGCUGAAAUAUCAGGGCUACUCACACAGCUGGCUACAAAAGCUGAUCUGGUGAUCACACCGGGCAUGUUUACAAAGCAGCCUGUGGAACAAAGACAUCCAUACCUUGGGGAAGGUCAGGGUCAGGAUUUUGAUUUUUAGGAUAGAAUGGCACACUAACUGCAUAUUGUUUUCAAAAUGGACUCUUGAUUCUUAACCCAAAUUUCUUUCAAGAUACUGUCACAAUAAAAUGUGAUAAGGUUUUUAGUGCAUGAUACUAAUUUAUCUAUAGAAUUCAAAAUAGUAAUUUGUUACUUUUAACAAGGUUAUUACAAGCUUAAAAAUUAUUUUAACUAUUUGUAUUCUUCAGAUGUAUCCUGAGAGAAGAAGGACUCCUGUUUGUGUGCAAGGGUGAUUAGUUUGUACUGUUAAUAGCAUGGAUUUCCUGGUACUUAAUUGAAAGCAGGUGGAUAAUUAAAACCAAUGUGCCGCUAAUCAAGAGUCAGAUAUCAGGUGAUCAUGAGGCCAUGUUUGAUUCUGUUCAGGAUAAAAACCCAACUGCCAGGUCUGUUAGCUUUAACAUCUAGAGUGAAAAUGGUGAGGAGGGCUGGUUCUGGGAAGAACAUAAUUAAGUUGCAGCAUCGUAUCUCUUCACCUGGAAACCUGAACUUGCUAGUAUUUUAAAGAGAUGUCUGUGGAAUAGAGCUGUUGGGUGAAACUCUACCUGCCUUUCAACACGGAGAGGAUGCUUUCCAACAUUCCGGGAUCCCUCCAACAGGAGACAGUCCUCCAUGAAUCUGUCCAGUGUGAAUCCUUCCCAUAGGCUUCAUUAGCUUCUCUAGGGUCCUCUCAGGACCCUGCUCCAGUGCAGGUCUCCCAUGAAACCACAGCCUCCUUUGGCCACAUCUACCUGCUCUGACAUGGGGUUCUCCACAGGCUGCAGGUGGAUCUCUGCUUAACCAUGGACCAUCAUGGGCUACAGGGGUACAGCAUGACUCACCAUGGGUUGCUGUUGAUGGACUCAGCCUUGACCAGGGGUGGAUUCAUCUUGGAGCCAUCUGGCAUUGGAUCUGUCAGACACAGGGAGAGCUGCUGGUAGUUUCUCAGAGAAACCACACGUGUUCACCCACCAUCAGCUCUGGUUACCCAAAUCUUGCCACACAAACCCAAAUAAGAAUAUGUUUCUAUUUUGCAAAUUAUAUGUGGUCAAAAUAUGGCUUUGUGGACACUAAGGUUGUGUUGAGAUAGAAAAAUUUCCACUUCCUUCCCUGUUAAAGUGUCUUAGGCAACAACAUGUCUGAGAAACAGGCUGAGAGUCCAUAACUCUCAUGAAGUUCCACAAGUCCAAAUGCAGAGUCCUGCACCAGGGUUGGGGCAAUCCCAGACAUGCAUAGAAUCUGGGACAAGAGCCCCUUGAGAGCAGCUCUGUGGAGAAGGAGUUGCAAAUUCUCAUGGACAAAAAUCCAGACAUGAUCCAGGCAUGAUCCAACACUCACAGCCCAAUAGCCCAACUGCAUCCUGGGUUGAACCAAAAGAAGCAAGUCCAGUAGGCUGAGGAAGGUAAUUCUCCUCCUCUCCCCUGUCCUUGUGAGACAUCACCAAGGAUGCUGUGUCCAGGUCUGGAGUUCUCAGCACAAGAGCUAUGAACCUGUUGCACCAAGUGCAAAGGGCCAAUAAGAUGAUCUGAUUACUGGAACAUGUCUUGUAUGAAGACAGGCUAAGAGAACUGAGGUGUUUGAGCAUGGGGAAAAGAAGGCUCUGGGGGGAUCUCACAGCAGCCUUCCAGUACUUAGAGCUCAUGGAAAAGAGAAGGAGUGACUUUAACAAUGUGUUAGGAUAUGACAAGGGGAAAAGGCUUUAAACUGAUAGAUUUAAAUCGGAUAUUAAGAAGAAAUUCUUUACUGGUGGUGAGGCAGUGGAAUGGGUUACCUAGAAAAACUGGAUUUCCCAUCCCUGGAAUGUUCAAGGCUGGGUUGGAUGGAGCCCUGAGCAGCAUGAUCUAGUGGGAUGAAUGAUGGAUAUGACAGGGUGUUGGAACUUUAAGGUCACUUCCAGUCCAAGGCUUUCUAUUCUCUUAUGAUAUUGUUUUAAGCACAUAUUGAUCUAAAAUGUUUUGAUUGCUGACCUGUAGAAGUUUUCUUGUAGCAACACAACACUAAAUUUUUGUUCUUCACUACUUGUAAAACUCUUACUUUUGACAGGUCCACUCAGCCCUUUAAUACCUAUAGAAAUCAUUACUGUUGUUUGACACAUACCAAGAGUUUUCCAGACUUUAAAUAUAUCAUUCCCUAUCUGUCAGCAUAAACCUUGCUGAUAUUUUUUAUUAACUGUGAACAUCUCUAGAUGACAUAAACAAAAAUAUUGAUUACAAUGACCCUUAUGUCUUUCAUGAUAACGUCCAGAUUAUUUUUGAUGUUUCCUUAAACGCCAGGAAAAAAAUUCAACCUUAUGUUUGGUUUUGUGGGUUUCUAGACCCAAAAUAUUUUCAUGAUCUUUAAAACUUUCAUUAUCUGAAGUCUGGGGUUUUCUUGUGUUCCACUUGCCUAAUCUACCUUAAUCCCUUCAAUAAAUCUUGAGCUCUUGCUGGAACACCAAACUCUCAUUUAAGGGUGCGCAUUUGGGGCACUCUCAACUGCAGCUUUCAGUGACAUGCUGGUAAUAAACCUUUUUCAGCAGAGACAGGUAACUGAGAUCACUGCUCAGAGCUAUGCAUCAGCAGCCUGCUAUCAAUUUUUUCAGUUUUACACAGUAUCAUAUUUAUAUUUUUUUUUCUCUUUAAUUUUAAGUCAUGUAAUUUCUUCCUCACUAUAAUUCCUGGUAUUUUUGUUGCUCUCAGUUUGUUUUUUUUUUCCCAUCUUUCCCACCCCUUAUUUUUCUCUAUUAUAUAGUUCAACAUAAACUAAAGAAACACUUUCAAAGUUGAAACCAUUGAAUAAACAUGUGAAAGAAAUAUUUCACAAAGAGGCACAUGUAGUUCCAGCUUCUUGUAUCAAAGUAUAACUGUUUUCUUUUGACUUACUAAAUAAGUUUUUAGGAGAUACUUCAUGCAGAUUAAUCAGUAUCCAGCGUGUCUCAAUUUACCUAAUUUUGUCUUUCUAAGAGCUGACCAUACCAUUUAAUUUAUGUAUUAGAGACUUUUAUAUAGUAGAUUGAGAUAGACCAGUACCUCCAGGGGACAAUUCAUCUCAAUAAAUGUAGAUGUCUAGGGCAGAUAGAACAAUUCUUUCACUGGUGGUGCUACCUUUGAAUUUAAUCACUAAUCAGCAUAAAUAUUUUCCCAAGAGUUGUGCUAUUUUGAUCUGAAAGAACAAUAUCCAAAUGAUGUGGACCAAUGCUAUAAUGUCAGUUUAUUAUUUGCUAAUUCUUUGCUGACUUUAGAUCUUGGUGUUAUACAAACUUUAUCCUAAGGUCAUGAUCUAUUUCAUGAAAAUUCAGAGCUUCAGAUUUUAAAUUAAGAGAGCCAGCCUAUUGUUUACAGGAUAUGAGUCUCCUGAGCUUUGAUUUUUUUUGACAGAUUAGACACUUGAUGUAAUCCUCUUUUCAGAAGUCCAUAGGUGAACUGUUUUUUCUAGGACCAGAGAAAAAGUUCCAUGAAAACAACUUAUACGCACAUAAAUUUUUUUUUCAGUGUCCUAAAAAUGUUACUAAAAAGACAAUUAAUGUGAAAAAUGAAUGCGUUAUACUGUAAGAAGUGAGAGCCUUUUUGGAUGUCAACCUCAUUAAAUUCUCAUUAUUUACAGAUGAAAUGGUUUGAAUUAUCCUUGUAAAUUUUUUUCCCUGAUUUUCUGUUUCUUCCAUUAUUCUUAUCAGCAACAUUUUUGUCAGUUUAAGUGCUUAAAUUUAUAUUGAGUAUUUAAUUAUUUUGACAGCUGAUAACAAUAUGUUAAAUAGGAAGUAAGUUGAAUUAUUUGAAUAAUUACCUGAGUUGCAUCAAGAAAAGAAUUAAACAAAACCUUUCAAAAGACACUAUGUCAGUAGAAUUCCAAAGAGAUAAAUAUAUUGGUUUUCAAUCCAGUCACAACUGAAUUAAAGUCUGAUCCAAAGCCACUGAAAUCAAUAGGCGUAUUUCCACUGAGCUGGCCUUGGAUCAAGCUCCUGAUGCAGAAAGUAAAAAAUCGAAACUUCUUUAUCUGUAUUCAUUGCACAUGCAAAAAUAAAGGACCUUCAUCCUGUAGUCAAGUGAAGACAAAGAUUCUUGAUCUUGAAUAAACUACUGUGACUUCUGUUCACAUAGAACCUUGUUCAAUCCAAUAACAACAACCUGUUAGAUAUAAAAGUUUGAAAAUAGAGUUUUCAAAUGUUUUAUUCCUAACAGUUCAGAAACAAAUAUACUUUUCAAUCUAGGCACUCAUUUUAGACUAUAGAUUAUUGCUUUUCAAUAUACAUGUUAUGUACUGCUAAACAUCAAGGAAGCCACCAAGUUACCAGAAUAAAAUAAGAUAAUAUUAUAUACAUGGAAAAUACAACAUAUCUGAGCUAUUAGAAAAUAUUUUUUUUUUUUUUUUACUAUGUUAAAAAGGCAAUCUAUGAUUGCAAUAUGGAAAUAAAG